rnacentral:rRNA from 1 species
GACGAACGCUGGCGGCGUGCCUAAUACAUGCAAGUCGAGCGAACAGAUGAAGAAGCUUGCUUCUUCUGACGUUAGCGGCGGACGGGUGAGUAACACGUGGGCAACCUACCCUAUAGUUUGGGAUAACUCCGGGAAACCAGGGCUAAUAACGAAUGAUACAUCGCAUCUCAUGUUGCGAUGUUGAAAGAUGGUUCUGCUAUCGCUAUAGGAUGGGCCCGCGGCGCAUUAGCUAGUUGGUGAGGUAACGGCUCACAAAGGCGACGAUGCGUAGCCGAACUGAGAGGGUGAGCGGCCAAACGGGGACUGGGAAACGGCCCAGACUCCUACGGGAGGCAGGAGUAGGGAAUCUUCAACAAUGGGCGAAAGCCUGAUGGAGCAACGCCGCGUGAGUGAAGAAGGAUUUCGGUUCGUAAAACUCUGUUGUAAGGGAAGAACAAGUACAGUAGUAACUGGCUGUACCUUGACGGUACCUUAUUAGAAAGCCACGGCUAACUACGUGCCAGCCGCCGCGGUAACAC